AAAAAAACAUUCAAAUAGUUAUUUUAACCAUUUAGCUGAUAGGUGGAAGCCAAAUGUUUGCCAUUUGACCAUUUGACUUCUAGGUGGAACCAUUUGACCAUUUGACUUCUAGGUAGAACCUUUUAUUAGCCUGGUAGGUGAAAAGUUACAUACAUUUUUUUUUUCUAGGAAUAAAAAACAACUAAAAAGGAGAGAGAACAAAAAUUUGUUGCAGUAACAGGAAGCUUCCACUCGAUCGCAGAUGGAAAAUUUAUCAUCCCUCUCUCAUCUCUCUUGCAAACUUUGAAUAGUGCUUGAUGGAGUCUCAAACAUGUCGCUUGAAUAGAUCUUCAGGUAUUUCGUUGUCUUCUUCUCUCUCUCAGGCUAAGAUCUCAAACUUGUCCAGGACGUGUCUGAGAUGAGGAGAAAAAAAAGAAAAAAAGACAUGACAGACUGAGUGUCAGACAUGUGUCGACUGCGUGUGCAACGCGUGUCUAUGUCAAACACGUGUCGAACACUGAUUCGUGGACUUAACAGACGAGUCAGUGCUUCCUAAUUGAUCUAUAGUCCAAAAGUCGAACUGGAGCGAGAUUAUUGCAAGUAGAAAGCUAAAGAUGACAAGGACAGUUGCGGGUGAAGAGAAAGGCAAGCAAAGCUCAGCUCGGAACCAGUGACAGUAAAGGGCACAAUGUGAAAAAAGGAACCUUCUUUUAUAGGAGGUGUCCUCAUGGUAACUCUAAAGCAUACAAGUAUGAUGGAAAUGCCAAUUAAGGUUCGAAACACAACCCUAACAGAACUAUAAAGAUCACUAGUACUUGUUGGCGUCAUCUCCGAAUGUGAUGAAACUAACUCAUUGAUUUGCAUAUGAUGAGUCAAUACCAAAAGGUUAGGGAAGAGAGAGUGACAGAGAAGGAAAUCCAGUUCUGAGCAUAAUAUAGAAUUGCCAAUUAAUUACAAGUUACAAGGAAAAGGGAAUUAGUAAUGGAAGCACCAUAAACAUCAUCACCAAGUAAAAGAUGCAAUAUAGAUAUGAAACAUAGUUUAUCCGACGUGUCAGGAUAGGAUACAAAAAUAAAUGACAAUGAAAGAUAUUUAUUCUUUAAAUAAAAAAAAUUAAAAAAAAAGUUUUACAAAGAGUUGCCU